rnacentral:rRNA from 1 species
UACGUAGGGGGCGAGCGUUGUCCGGAUUUAUUGGGCGUAAAGGGUGCGUAGGCGGUCGGGUAAGUCUGAUGUGAAAUCUCACAGCUUAACUGUGAAACUGCAUUGGAUACUAUUCGGCUUGAGAGUUGGAGGGGGGACUGGAAUUCUUGGUGUAGCAGUGAAAUGCGUAGAUAUCAAGAGGAACACCAGUGGCGAAGGCGAGUCCCUGGACAACUUCUGACGCUGAGGCACGAAAGCUAGGGGAGCAAACAGG